GUUAAUGUAGCUUAACUCAACAAAGCAAAGCACUGAAAAUGCUUAGAUGGGUAUUCUUACCCCAUAAACA
rnacentral:tRNA from 1 species